rnacentral:sRNA from 1 species
AAUACAAUCGAGUUUAGUAGGCGCUGCUUGGAGCAAGGUGUAACUGCGUGAAGUCGUGGGCCAUUGCCAUAGAUGAAUGGUCCACUAGUAAGAUGACACAGCAAUAUCUGAACAGUUUUAGAUGAUUGCUGUUACAUCGAUUUACAGUGACAAAAGAGGCGAGGUUCCACCGAGGUUGUGGUGAAAAGAGCUUCAAAUGUAACAGAUUGCUUGUUUGAUACUUGGGGGCCAUCCAAAGGGAGUUUUUCAUUCUAUUGUUGUACACUACACGAAGGGCGCGCAUCGGUCGCUGCUGUAUUAUGUCCAGACUGAUUGAUGCUGUGUUGCUGCCAGAUACAAACUUGUAGCCUCCAUUUGUUUAGCUCUAGGCGCGAUACUGUUGUCGGGAAAUUCUUGCAACAUUCAUAUGGUGGAAACUUGUAAUACACCUAAGUGCUGCUCUUCUCGGCAUUUCUUACGGCUAUAUUCCACUUGUAGAAUGUAGUUUUUGAGUCUAAGUAAGGCCUGUAGCUCUUGUAUUUAUAUCUGUCAACCUGAUUAGAUUGGU